rnacentral:rRNA from 1 species
AAAUUGAAGAGUUUGAUCAUGGCUCAGAUUGAACGCUGGCGGCAGGCCUAACACAUGCAAGUCGAGCGGUAGCACAGAGAGCUUGCUCUCGGGUGACGAGCGGCGGACGGGUGAGUAAUGUCUGGGAAACUGCCUGAUGGAGGGGGAUAACUACUGGAAACGGUAGCUAAUACCGCAUAACGUCGCAAGACCAAAGUGGGGGACCUUCGGGCCUCAUGCCAUCAGAUGUGCCCAGAUGGGAUUAGCUAGUAGGUGGGGUAACGGCUCACCUAGGCGACGAUCCCUAGCUGGUCUGAGAGGAUGACCAGCCACACUGGAACUGAGACACGGUCCAGACUCCUACGGGAGGCAGCAGUGGGGAAUAUUGCACAAUGGGCGCAAGCCUGAUGCAGCCAUGCCGCGUGUGUGAAGAAGGCCUUCGGGUUGUAAAGCACUUUCAGCGGGGAGGAAGGCGAUAAGGUUAAUAACCUCAUCGAUUGACGUUACCCGCAGAAGAAGCACCGGCUAACUCCGUGCCAGCAGCCGCGGUAAUACGGAGGGUGCAAGCGUUAAUCGGAAUUACUGGGCGUAAAGCGCACGCAGGCGGUCUGUCAAGUCGGAUGUGAAAUCCCCGGGCUCAACCUGGGAACUGCAUUCGAAACUGGCAGGCUAGAGUCUUGUAGAGGGGGGUAGAAUUCCAGGUGUAGCGGUGAAAUGCGUAGAGAUCUGGAGGAAUACCGGUGGCGAAGGCGGCCCCCUGGACAAAGACUGACGCUCAGGUGCGAAAGCGUGGGGAGCAAACAGGAUUAGAUACCCUGGUAGUCCACGCCGUAAACGAUGUCGAUUUGGAGGUUGUGCCCUUGAGGCGUGGCUUCCGGAGCUAACGCGUUAAAUCGACCGCCUGGGGAGUACGGCCGCAAGGUUAAAACUCAAAUGAAUUGACGGGGGCCCGCACAAGCGGUGGAGCAUGUGGUUUAAUUCGAUGCAACGCGAAGAACCUUACCUGGUCUUGACAUCCACAGAACUUUCCAGAGAUGGAUUGGUGCCUUCGGGAACUGUGAGACAGGUGCUGCAUGGCUGUCGUCAGCUCGUGUUGUGAAAUGUUGGGUUAAGUCCCGCAACGAGCGCAACCCUUAUCCUUUGUUGCCAGCGGUCCGGCCGGGAACUCAAAGGAGACUGCCAGUGAUAAACUGGAGGAAGGUGGGGAUGACGUCAAGUCAUCAUGGCCCUUACGACCAGGGCUACACACGUGCUACAAUGGCAUAUACAAAGAGAAGCGACCUCGCGAGAGCAAGCGGACCUCAUAAAGUAUGUCGUAGUCCGGAUUGGAGUCUGCAACUCGACUCCAUGAAGUCGGAAUCGCUAGUAAUCGUAGAUCAGAAUGCUACGGUGAAUACGUUCCCGGGCCUUGUACACACCGCCCGUCACACCAUGGGAGUGGGUUGCAAAAGUAGGUAGCUUAACCUUCGGGAGGGCGCUUACCACUUUGUGAUUCAUGACUGGGGUGAAGUCGUAACAAGGUAACCGUAGGGGAACCUGCGGUUGGAUCACCUCCUUACCUUAAAGAA